rnacentral:rRNA from 1 species
AUGUUGCAUGUGCCAGCUUUUCCUGUGAACUUAGUGUCCUUGAGUGCUUUGGUUGACCACAUUGAUUGCCAAAUAAUUCUUGACAAGGUUGUGUUCUUGAUCCAGGAGAGAUCAACGGCCAGGAGUUUUGGAACUGGAACGAGGCAUGGGGGGUUGUGGUACAUGGACCGCAACAUGACGGACCAGGAGGGAAUGCACAUGCUAGCUGCAGUUGCUGAGGAUAAGGAGACUGGAGCCUUAAUGCAUCACUAUAGGAUGGGACAUGUGUCUUCUGAUAAAAUGUCUCAAGUAUUUCCUGAUGUAAUGAGUGGUGUGGACAAGAGCAAGCUGCACUGUUAUGCGUGUGAGUUUGCUAAACAUACCAGAACCUCAUAUGUGAGUAAGGGGAUCAGGACCAUAUCGCCUUUUGUGUUAAUCCACUCUGAUGUAUGGACAUGUCCAGUGUUAUCUGUCAGUGGUCAGUGGUAUGAAGUACUUCGUUACGUUCAUUGA